AUAAUACUGGAUAGGCAAUUUUUCUGCAAUGGUUUUUUGUUUAAAUGUUUUUCGCCUAAGGAUGGGUCUGCGGCCGAUUAGGUAGUUGGUUAGGUAACGGCUUACCAAGCCAUUGAUCGGUACGGGUUGUGAGAGCAAGAGCCCGGAGAUGGAACCUGAGACAAGGUUCCAGGCCCUACGGGGUGCAGCAGGCGCGAAACCUCCGCAAUGUGAGAAAUCGCGACGGGGGGAUCCCAAGUGCCAUUCUUAACGGGAUGGCUUUUCAUUAGUGUAAAGAGCUUUUGGAAUAAGGGCUGGGCAAGACCGGUGCCAGCCGCCGCGGUAACACCGGCAGCUCUAGUGGUAGCAGUUUUUAUUGGGCCUAAAGCGUCCGUAGCCGGUUUAAUAAGUCUCUGGUGAAAUCCUGUAGCUUAACUGUGGGAAUUGCUGGAGAUACUAUUAGACUUGAGACCGGGAGAGGUUAGAGGUACUCCCAGGGUAGAGGUGAAAUUCUGUAAUCCUGGGAGGACCGCCUGUUGCGAAGGCGUCUAACUGGAACGGUUCUGACGGUGAGGGACGAAAGUUAGGGGCGCGAACCGGAUUAGAUACCCGGGUAGUCCUAACCGUAAACGAUGCGGACUUGGUGUUGGGGUGGCUUUGAGCUGCUCCAGUGCCGAAGGGAAGCUGUUAAGUCCGCCGCCUGGGAAGUACGGUCGCAAGACUGAAACUUAA
rnacentral:rRNA from 1 species